AAAAACAGACUUCUCUUAUAAAGUUUGUUCAAAAAGUGACAAGUCCAUUAAAAAUUUUAUCACAAUAAAUAAAGAAAAGUAAGAGGAUAAAUAACAAAAAUCUCAUCAAAUUGAAAAGAAGAAGUGGUUGUUUUCACAAGUGUGAAGAGGGUUAAUUAAAUACAAACAAGAUUUCAAUUACAUUACAGAAAUUUUAAAACUCAAAAUUUAAUACGUUUAUUUCUUGUUUCAAUAGGAAAUUAACGGU
rnacentral:misc_RNA from 1 species